UACGUAGGUGGCGAGCGUUGUCCGGAAUUACUGGGUGUAAAGCGCGUGUAGGCGGCAGGCCAAGUCGGUGGUGAAAGCGCCCGGCUCAACUGGGCGAGGUCCAUGGAAACUGGUCAGCUGGAGGACGGUGGAGGCGAGUGGAAUUCCCGGUGUAGUGGUGAAAUGCGUAGAGAUCGGGAGGAACACCUGUGGCGAAGGCGGCUCGCUGGGCCGGUCCUGACGCUGAAACGCGAAGGCGUGGGGAGCGAACGGG
rnacentral:rRNA from 1 species